ACGAGAGGACCGGAGUGGACGCAUCACUGGUGUUCGGGUUGUCAUGCCAAUGGCACUGCCCGGUAGCUAAAUGCGGAAGAGAUAAGUGCUGAAAGCAUCUAAGCACGAAACUUGCCCCGAGAUGAGUUCUCCCUGACUCCUUGAGAGUCCUGAAGGAACGUUGAAGACGACGACGUUGAUAGGCCGGAUGUGUAAGCGCAGCGAUGCGUUGAGCUAACCGGUACUAAUGAACCGUGAGGCUUAACCUUACAACGCCGAAGCUGUU
rnacentral:rRNA from 1 species